rnacentral:rRNA from 1 species
CCUACGGGUGGCUGCAGUGGGGAAUAUUGCACAAUGGGCGCAAGCCUGAUGCAGCCAUGCCGCGUGUGUGAAGAAGGCCUUCGGGUUGUAAAGCACUUUCAGCGGGGAGGAAGGCGUUAAGGUUAAUAACCUUGUCGAUUGACGUUACCCGCAGAAGAAGCACCGGCUAACUCCGUGCCAGCAGCCGCGGUAAUACGGAGGGUGCAAGCGUUAAUCGGAAUUACUGGGCGUAAAGCGCACGCAGGCGGUCUGUCAAGUCGGAUGUGAAAUCCCCGGGCUCAACCUGGGAACUGCAUUCGAAACUGGCAGGCUAGAGUCUUGUAGAGGGGGGUAGAAUUCCAGGUGUAGCGGUGAAAUGCGUAGAGAUCUGGAGGAAUACCGGUGGCGAAGGCGGCCCCCUGGACAAAGACUGACGCUCAGGUGCGAAAGCGUGGGGAGCAAACAGGAUUAGAUACCCCUGUAGAC